rnacentral:misc_RNA from 1 species
GAGUUCAUGCCCUUACGGGGUAGAUCUCCCACCCUUGAAUAACAUACAUUGUUGCUUUGGCGGACGCUUCGGCAACCGCCAGAGGACCCUAAACUCUUGUUUACAGUGUCGUCUGAGUACUAUAUAAUAGUUAAAACUUUCAACAACGGAUCUCUUGGUUCU